rnacentral:snRNA from 1 species
CAAAAGGGAUUCUACUGUAAGUAGCACACAUAGGACUGGCCACUUGCUUAUUCUAUGUAUGCAAUAGACAUGAAGAGAUUUCAAAAGCAUACAUUUUUGGCAGUAGGGCAGCUGAUCAUCAUUGGUUCUGGUGACUUC